rnacentral:rRNA from 1 species
AUUGAACGCUGGCGGCAGGCCUAACACAUGCAAGUCGAGCGAGCGGCGGACGGGUGAGUAAUGUAUGGGGAUCUGCCUGAUGGAGGGGGAUAACUACUGGAAACGGUAGCUAAUACCGCAUACCAUCAGAGGAACCCAUAUGGGAUUAGCUAGUAGGUGGGGUAAAGGCUCACCUAGGCGACGCUCUCUAGCUGGUCUGAGAGGAUGAUCAGCCACACGGGGACUGAGACACGGCCCAGACUCCUACGGGAGGCAGCAGUGGGGAAUAUUGGACAAUGGGCGCAACCCUGAUGCAGCCAUUCCGCGUGUAUGAAGAAGGCCUUAGGGUUGUAAAGUACUUUCAGCGGGGAGGCGGUACCUGCAGAAGAAGCACCGGCUAACUCCGUGCCAGCAGCCGCGGUAAUUC